UUCGGACUGGGAGCGUACACAGGUGCUGCAUGGCUGUCGUCAGCUCGUGUCGUGAGAUGUUGGGUUAAGUCCGCAACGAGCGCAACCCCUGCUGCCAGUUGCAACGGGUGAAGCCGGGCACUCUGGCGGGACUGCCAUCGACAAGAUGGAGGAAGGUGGGGAGUGACGUCAAGUCAUCAUGGCCCUUAUGUCCAGGGCGACACACGUGCUACAAUGGCCGGCACAGCGGGAAGCGAGGCAGUGAUGCCAAGCGGAUCCCUUAAAGCCGGUCUCAGUUCGGAUUGAAGUCUGCAACUCGACUUCAUGAAGCUGGAAUCGCUAGUAAUCGCAGAUCAGCCAAGCUGCGGUGAAUACGUUCCCGGGCCUU
rnacentral:rRNA from 1 species